rnacentral:lncRNA from 1 species
GCGUCGUCCCAGACACCCGAUGUUACAAGACCGUUAUAAAAAGUCUCAUUUUCACUGUUCUUCGUGCCUCUAAGUCCAUUCUUUGGGUUUGAACGGGUGAGUGUGUUUCUCACAACCUGAGGGCCCGUUCGGGAUCUCUGUGCCUACGUGGAGUGGGACUCCGGCUGAGAGAAGAGACAUGUCCCACCCGAUUUUUGUGCCCCACUCUGUCUGGGUGUCCUGGCUCCCCACAGAAGCCAUAGAUAAACCCGAGACUGUUAUUCAGGAGACGGUGGAGGUGACGCAGGGAGAAAAGCAGGCACUGCGGCAAACAGGCAACCUCGUGCACCAGCCAAGGUUGGGUAUUUCCUUCAGCCUAUUAAAGGAAUUGGGAACCUGUGGUACCUUCCUUUGAGUGUCACGGGAGUACCAUCUCUUUACCUUGGCAAGAGCAGAUCCUUCAUAUCUGUAGUUGAAUCACACACUCUCAGAUAUCUGAGCUUGAAUUCUACAGGGACACUUAUCUCAGCUUUUGAGUUUUAGGAGAAAUAGCCUGCAGACCAGAGAAUAAGGAAAAGUUGUUUCCUGCCAAAGAACAAGCAGUAUUGUGAAAUAUAAAAUUUUAUUGUUGCGGUGAAAGAAAAUUUCAGUAUCAAAUUUUUGAAAACACCAUGUAAGAGAUGCCUGCUUUCCCUUCACCUUCCGGCAUGAUUGUAAGUUUCCUGAGGCCUCUCCAGACAUGCUUCCUGUACAGCCUGUAGAACUAUUCUGACACCUCCACUUCACACAAAACACUCCACUUUAGAGUUCCUUGGCCCCUUAAAGAAGUGCCUGCUUCUCCUUUGCCUUCCACCAUGAUGUUAAGUUUCCUGAAGCCUCCCCACCAAAGCAGAACU